rnacentral:rRNA from 1 species
UACGAAGGGGGCUAGCGUUGCUCGGAAUUACUGGGCGUAAAGGGCGCGUAGGCGGGUACUUAAGUCAGAGGUCAAAUCCCAGGGCUCAACCCUGGAACUGCCUUUGAUACUGGGUACCUAGAGUUCGGGAGAGGUGUGUGGAACUCCGAGUGUAGAGGUGAAAUGCGUAGAUAUCGAUCGGAACACCCAUGGCGAAGGCAGCUCGCUGGCCUGCAACUGACGCUGAGGCGCGAAAGCCGGGGGAGCAAACAGG